UAUGUGAUCGUCUCUCGCAUAUCAAUAAGCGGAGGAAAAGAAACUAACAAGGAUUCCCCUAGUAACGGCGAGUGAAGCGGGAAGAGCUCAAAUUUGAAAUCUUAAAGGGUUUCCCUUUACGAAUUGUAGUUUAAAGAAGUGUUUUCUGUUGAGGUUUUGGUAAAAGUUCUUUGGAAUAGGACAUCAUAGAGGGUGAGAAUCCCGUAUUUGACCUUUACUUUCAACUUUGUGAUACACUUUCAAAGAGUCGGAUUGUUUGGGAAUGCAGUCCAAAAUGGGUGGUAAAUUUCAUCUAAAGCUAAAUAUUGGCGAGAGACCGAUAGCGAACAAGUACCGUGAGGGAAAGAUGAAAAGAACUUUGAAAAGAGAGUUAAACAGUACGUGAAAUUGUCAAAAGGGAAGCGUUUGACACCAGUGUUGUUUUUCUGAAAAUCAAUUAAAGAACUGUUUAUGCUAAGUUGUUUAGACUUUAUCAGCUAUCUGUUUAGUUUUGAGCUUUUCUUUAAUGCACUUUUCAGUUAACAAGUCAACAUCAAUUUCUUUUGCUGUAAAAAAGCUUGAGGAAGGUGGCUUGAGAUUCGUCUUAAGUGUUUAUAGCCUCUUGCCUAUGCAGUCGGAGAGGAUUGAGGUCUGCAGCGUAGAUCCUUCGGGGCUAAAUGCAUUUGUGCUAAGUUAUAGCAUUUCAUAGACAACUUGAUUGACUAUGAUUUGUCUUGUAGCUUACUCGCUUAUGUUAUUUUACCUACGCUUAGGAUGUUGAUAUGCAUGACUGAUAU
rnacentral:rRNA from 1 species